rnacentral:rRNA from 1 species
AUGGAACAAAUUCAGACAUUCAAAGAUAUUCAUCCGUCAGAAUAUUCAGGUUUGCCAUGUGAAGAAAAAGGAUAUGUGGGAGCUUUUGGAUGGACAAAGGCUCCAGCAAUGAAGAGAAGAGAGCUGCAUUCCCUACUUGCAAUUCUAGUAACUAUCUUUGUUAUAACUUGUAGAGUGUACCCGCAAAAAAAACUUGUAGAGUGUGAUGGAUUAAUUAGGAUGCUAUGUAAUCAGAGUACGUACCCUAUCAUAUGUAUCAUGACUGAUUGCGACCAAGGUCUGCAUUCUGUGAAGAAGACUCCCAUUUAUAUGUUUAUUAGUGAUACUUUGUUGCGCUUGCUCUACUACUUCUGUACAUUAUUUGUGGAAUUGGUCUUAUGUAGCACUAUUUCAACUGGAGUUGGUCGAGUCCCGCUCAUUUUUCAAAUGUUGUGUCUUAUCCUAAGCUUGUUGAUAGGUGAUCAUUUCAGUACUGGCUUGUCAUGUACUGACCCUGAACUCUGA